rnacentral:tRNA from 1 species
GUUAGCGUGGCAGAGCUCGGUAAUUGCAAAAGGCCUAAGCCCUUUGAACAGAGGUUCAAAUCCUCUCCCUAACU